UUUUGUCCCUUUCUUCUACUUUCCUGGAGUUUUUGCUGUUGUUCUAUUUCUAUUUCUCCCUUCUCUUGAAAGCUUAGCUCUGUCAUUUUCAAUCAUCCUUCUCUUCUGUUAUAUCCACAAAGGGGGACAUUUCCCCUCCGAUUCCUGCUGUCACUGGUGCACACAUUUUGUUCUCAG